ACCCUAGCCGCCUGCCGCUCGGCGGAGAAGACGAACCAGAGGCCGACCGCCGCCACCCGCCGCCGCACCGGGGAAAUUUCUGACCGCCGAUCGAGGUAAAUUUCAUACCCCCGACUCGUUUUUCCACGCUGAUUCCUCCUAUGGCCAAAUCGAAGCCAAAAUCCUGGCCAAACGGCCGGAAUACGCGGCCGAAGACCAGCGGCGCCGCCGCGCCCCCUCUCGGUUUUUGCCUCCGACGAGGCCCUUCCCGGCCUCCGUUUGAUGCAAUUUUUAUAUUACCGUGAUCACCAUUCUUUUCUCUACAGGUUGACCGGAGCCGAAUCACCAAAACACGAACCUCGCCGGAGAGCCGUCGCACCCGAGAGCGCCGCCGCCGGUAAGCUCCGUUUUUCCGUGAUUUUUUGGCCCCCCGAGAGCCUUAGGGUUGUUUUCUCACAGGGACCGAUGCGAGUGUAGCCGAAUUCGGCCAAAAACUGCCGAAAACAGCCAACCCGAGGCGACUCGCCGCCGCCAGCGGCGGCGCCGUCGCCGGAGCACGGCGGAGCC
rnacentral:lncRNA from 1 species